rnacentral:rRNA from 1 species
UCUAUGGCCAUAUCAUAGUGAAUGUGCCCAGUCUUGUCUGAUCUCAGAAGCUAAGCAGGGUCAGGCCUGCUUGGUACUUGGAUGGGAGAAUAUUGCAUCUUGUCACUAUACUAAGGUGCCAAUAGAG